rnacentral:rRNA from 1 species
ACGAACGCUGGCGGCGUGCUUAACACCUGCAAGUCGAACGGAAAGGCCCUGCUUUCGUGGGGUGCUCGAGUGGCGAACGGGUGAGUAACACGUGAGUAACCUGCCCUUGACUUUGGGAUAACUUCAGGAAACUGGGGCUAAUACCGGAUAGGAGCUCCUGCUGCAUGGUGGGGGUUGGAAAGUUUCGGCGGUUGGGGAUGGACUCGCGGCUUAUCAGCUUGUUGGUGGGGUAGUGGCUUACCAAGGCUUUGACGGGUAGCCGGCCUGAGAGGGUGACCGGCCACAUUGGGACUGAGAUACGGCCCAGACUCCUACGGGAGGCAGCAGUGGGGAAUAUUGCACAAUGGGCGGAAGCCUGAUGCAGCAACGCCGCGUGCGGGAUGACGGCCUUCGGGUUGUAAACCGCUUUCGCCUGUGACGAAGCGUGAGUGACGGUAAUGGGUAAAGAAGCACCGGCUAACUACGUG